rnacentral:rRNA from 1 species
UGAACCUUAACGGACGGACGGGAUGAGUACUGCUUAGGAACUCUGCCUAUUAGUGGGUGGACAACGUUUCGAAAGGAACGCAUAAUACCGCAUACGAUCCUACGGGAGAAAGCAGGGAGAUCAUAUUACCAUUGUGCUACAUAGAAUGAGCCUAACCGUCGGAAUUAGCAUAGUUGGUGGUGGUAAAGGCCUACCAAGGCGACGAUCUGUAGCACGGGUCUCGAGAGUGAUGAUCCUGCCACACUGGGACUGAGACAACGGCUCCAGACUCCUACAGGGAGAGCACGCAGUGGUGUGAAUAUUGGACAAUGGGCGCAAGCCUGAUCCAGCCAUGCCGCGUGUGUAGAAGAAAGUGCCUUAUGGUUGUAAAGCACUUUAAGCGAGGAGGAGGAGCUUCAGGUUAAUACCCUGGAUGCUUGGACGUUACUCGCAGAAUAAGCACCAGGCUAACUCUGUGCCAGCAGCCGCGGUAAUACAGAGGGUGCACAGCGUUAACUCGGAUUUACUUGGGCGUAAAAGCGUGCGUAGUGCUGGCUAAUUAAGUCAAAUGUGAAAUCCCCGAGCUUAACUUGGGAAUUGCAUUCGAUACUGGUUUAAGCUAGAGUAUGGGAGACGAUGGUAAAAUUCCAGGUGUAGCGGGUGAAAUGCGUAGAGAUCUGGAGGAAUAACGAUGGGCGAAAGGCAGAGCCAUCUUGGGCCUAAAUACUUGACAGCUGAUGUACCGAAAGCUUGGGAAGCACACAGGCUUUAAUACCCUUGUUAACCACAGGCCGAACACGAUCUUUAAUAACCGUGGGGCCUUGAGACACUAUGGCGU